CCUACGGGUGGCAGCAGUCGAGAAUCAUUCACAAUGGGGGAAACCCUGAUGGUGCGACGCCGCGUGGGGGAAUGAAGGUCUUCGGAUUGUAAACCCCUGUCAUGUGGGAGCAAAUUAAAAAGAUAGUACCACAAGAGGAAGAGACGGCUAACUCUGUGCCAGCAGCCGCGGUAAUACAGAGGUCUCAAGCGUUGUUCGGAAUCACGGGGCGUAAAGGGUGCGUAGGCUGUUUCGUAAGUCGUGUGUGAAAGGCGCGGGCUCAACCCACGGACGGCACAUGAUACUGCGAGAUUAGAGUAAUGGAGGGGGAACCGGAAUUCUCGGUGUAGCAGUGAAAUGCGUAGAUAUCGAGAGGAACACUCGUGGCGAAGGCGGGUUCCUGGACAUUAACUGACGCUGAGGCACGAAGGCCAGGGGAGCGAAAGGGAUUAGAUACCCUUGUAGUC
rnacentral:rRNA from 1 species